rnacentral:rRNA from 1 species
AUUGAACGCUGGCGGCAGGCCUAACACAUGCAAGUCGAACGAGUGGCGGACGGGUGAGUAAUGUCUGGGAAACUGCCCGAUGGAGGGGGAUAACUACUGGAAACGGUAGCUAAUACCGCAUACCAUCGGAUGUGCCCAUAGGGGAUUAGCGAGUAGGUGGGGUAACGGCGCACCGUGGCGACGAUCCCUAGCUGGUCUGAGAGGAUGACCAGCCACACUGGAACUGAGCCACGGUCCAGACUCCUACGGUAGGCAGCAGUGGGGAAUAUUGCACAAUGGGCGCAAGCCUGAUGCAGCCAUGCCGCGUGUAUGAAGAAGUCCUUCGGGUUGUAAAUUACUUUCAGCGAGGAGGCGUUACUCGCAGAAGAAGCACCGGCUAACUCCGUGCCAGCAGCCGCGGUAAUUC